UACAGAGAACCAGGAAGUCAACAUUUUGUUAUGACAGGUCAUGUCAAAUUAACUUCGAUUCCAAUGUUUAUAUGUUAGAUUUAUGUAAUAAUUAGGGACAUUUGGACCACAAUGGCUGAUUGCAAGAAAGAACACGGGGGAUGUGGGAAAUGCUGUUUCGUUGAUUCAGUGAUUCAUGUGGAUGUCAAGGACGACUAUGGGAAGACCCUGAAGAAAACGUCUGACCUGAAGAGUAAUGCCUGCUUAGCCCCGUCUCAGGCCAUCCCAGCCUUCGUCCUCAAGGCUCUGAAGAAGAUCCAUCCUGAAGUCAGAGCCAAGUGGGUUCACUGUUGUGACAUUGUACUUACAAUGUACUAUGGGUGUGGGCUGGUGGUCCCAGAGUGUCUGGAGGGCUGCAGGCUGCUGGACCAGGGCAGUGGCAGUGGGCAAGACUGCUACAUGCUCAGCCAACUGGUCGGGGAGAAGGGCCAUGUCACAGGCAUCGACAUGAAUGAGGAUCAGCUUGAGGUUGCCAGAAAGUACGUGGACCACCACACGCAGGAGUUUGGAUACGAGAAGCCCAAUGUGGAUUUUGUUCAGGGCAACAUCGAGGCUCUAAAGGAGGCUGGACUCAAGGAGAACUCCUUCGAUAUCAUCAUAUCCAACUGUGUGGUGAAUUUGUCCACAGACAAGAGAAAAGUAUUGAGUGAUGCUUACCGCGUGCUGAAGGAUGGAGGAGAGCUGUACUUCAGUGAUGUCUAUAGUAGCAGUAGGCUCUCCGAUGACAUCAAGAAUCACAAAGUCCUGUGUGGGGAGUGUUUAGGCGGAGCGCUUUGGUGGGAGGACCUAGUGCGAUUGGCUCAGGAGGUGGGAUUCAGCCCCCCGCGAUUGGUCACGGCCAAUGUCAUCACCGUGAACAACAUGGAACUGGAGGCCAUCCUAGGUGACUACAAGUUUGUCUCUGCCACCUACCGUCUCUUCAAGAUCCCCAAAAUCUCUAACAAAGGCUCUCUGGUCAUAUACAAUGGCAACAUCACUGGUUUUGAGGAGAGUCUGGAGUUUGACUCUCAGUACACAUUCAAGGUGGACGAGGUAGUGGAGGUGGAUGGAGAGGUGGCCAGCAUCCUCAGCCACUCCAGGUUUGCUGAAGAGUUCACUUUCCAACCGCCCGGGGUACCUGCUGGAUGUAGUGUAAAGAAACCCAAGGUGGGCACGGUGAAUCCCUUUGAACUGGUGCUGCAGCUGGGGAGUGCAACUGUCUCUUCUGCCACAGGGGGGUGCUGUGGUGCAGAGUCAUCCUGUUGCAAGUGAUGGCGUACCCAAGAUACGAGAGAGACAGAGAAUGAUUAUACUGUAACAGCCUCAAUUCAUCUCGGCAUGGACUCUACAAGGUGUUGAAAGUGAUCUACAGGGAUGCUGGCCCAUGACUCCACUGCUUCCCACCAUUGUGUCAAGUUUCUACUUGUUGUGUAUAUGUACUGACAUGAACAGGGAUACAAGGACACCUGGAUAAAGACAGCCUACAAUCGGGCAAAAGACACCGAGAGAGAUCAAUUGCUGAGGCAUGCACAACAUUGAGAAAAAAUAUUUGUGUGUUUUCACUUCUACCUUUACACCGCUCUUUAGCAUUUAUGAACAUUUUAAAUAAACAUUGGCACAUAUUGACGUCUGAUUCCAAAUUC